rnacentral:tRNA from 1 species
GCCGAUGUGGCUCAGUGGACAGAGCAUCAGCCUGCGGACUGCAGGGUCCCGGGUUCGAUUCCGGUCAAGGGCA